AAGUCGUAACAAGGUUUCCGUAGGUGAACCUGCGGAAGGAUCAUUAAAAGUAAUUGGUUAUACAUAUCCUGUAUCAACUGGCACAAACCCAUUCCGAGUACCUUGCCUGUUGCUUCCAUGGGGCCUGACUUUGGUCCACUCUUGUGAUGCGAAUCCCCAAGAGAGUCCCCAUGGGGGUAGUCAUUAAUCAUAAUCAAUGUCUCUCUGAAUGAUAAAUACAAAUGUUAAAA
rnacentral:misc_RNA from 1 species